rnacentral:ncRNA from 1 species
GGUCAUGAGCGCCAGCGCGAAGCCCCGGCUCGCUGGCCGGCAACCCUCCUCCACGGUGGGGUGCUCCGGGUGAGGACCGGGCACCGGCGUGUCGCCGGUGCAAGCGUGGCCU